UACGGAGGAUCCAAGCGUUUAUCCGGAAUCAUGGUUGUAAAGGGUCCGUAGGCGGUUUAGUAAGUCAGUGGUGAAAGCCCAUCGCUCAACGGUGGAACGGCCAUUGAUACUGCUAGACUUGAAUUAUUAGGAAGUAACUAGAAUAUGUAGUGUAGCGGUGAAAUGCUUAGAGAUUACAUGGAAUACCAAUUGCGAAGGCAGGUUACUACUAAUGGAUUGACGCUGAUGGACGAAAGCGUGGGUAGCGAACAGG
rnacentral:rRNA from 1 species